AUUUAUUUAUUUACUUUUCUUUCAUUCUCCUGACCACCUCUGACAUUGUUUUUAUUUUGAGGAGAUUUAAAAAUAACUUCCCUGUACUCAUUCAUCUUGCUCUCCUGAGAUAGAGGGAAUUUUCACAUUUUCCAGCCAGUUUUAAUGUAGCAGAAACAAUCAGAGGUGCUGCUGUGACUUUUGGUGUAUUAGAAAAGGGGAGGGCUGGGGCAGGUGGGCUUGGCCAAUAAAAUACAGCUGGGGAACAGGAAACUGCAGAGAGAUUUCCCAGACUUGGCCUGCGCUGCAGCCCCGCUGUGCUCUCCUGUGAAGCUGCACCAGGCCUCUGGGCUGAAUUCCCACCUGGGCUUGAGAGGGCCCUCCCAUGUUGGUCCUUCUUGCUCCCUAGUGCAAGACUUCCUUUGCCCACAACGACACUGCCUCCCAUGUACAGAACAGUGCUAUCGCUAUGACUCAUUUCUGCAUCUUGAUUGCUGAGAUCACUGAUCAGGUUUGUGACAAAACAGCAUCAAAUCUGAAGAGUUGUGUCCUCCCCGCACCACCCCCCUCGCCCCCACCAUUAUUUGCUCACCUUGAAGGUAAUCCAGGAUAGGAGUCCCUCUGAAGCAAACAGAACAUCCAUCAAAGACCCGAAAGAACAUAAGGUAUCCACUUUUCACCUUUCCCCUUACCUGCUUUGUGCUUCAAGAAACUGACUUCAACAGACAGCAUCAUCUGGGCUUCUUUACCCUGUAGUGUUCAGCUGAGUUCAGCCAAUGGAAGACACUAGUAGAAGACUGGAAGGAUAGAGGAGAGAAAGAUUGGAAUAUUUAUUCCCAUCUCAUACUACAGUUUUUGUAGUGAUGGUUCUUCCUAUUGGACAGCUUCCACCUAUAACUACAGUUCUCUCCUGGUUCCAGAAACUGCUUUCUCCACUUCUGACCUAGGAGUAGCCACAGCUCCCAGCUGUUGUUAGACCCCAGGUGUAUUUUGUCAUCUCUUGUUACUUCCCUUAACCCUGCCACAGCUCUGAAAAUAGUCCAGUAAUUAAAUACUUUUUGAGCUAUUUCUUUGAGUAUACCACCUGUUUGUUUCGUGCCUGGACCCUGAGUGAUACAGUAUAAUAAAUAAUGUUCAAUACAAUAUACAAUGUAAAAUACAAUAGAUAAUACAAUUCCUAAAAACAAAAAGGAAGAAAGGAAAUAAAGAAUAAAAAAAGAAACAAAGAAGGAAAACCGGAUUUCUACCACCAAAAUGAAAUUAUUAUUACAAUUAUAGUGUAUUUACUUUUAGCUUUUUAAAUGCAAUUUUUAUGUAGUCAUUACUGUGGUAUAUAUGUAUUUAUGCUUAUUAAGUAGUUAUUUUUAACAUUGCCU
rnacentral:lncRNA from 10 species